UACGUAGGGUGCAAGCGUUGUCCGGAAUUAUUGGGCGUAAAGAGCUCGUAGGCGGUCUGUUGCGUCGGCUGUGAAAACCCGGGGCUCAACUCCGGGCCUGCAGCCGAUACGGGCAGACUAGAGUUCGGCAGGGGAGACUGGAAUUCCUGGUGUAGCGGUGAAAUGCGCAGAUAUCAGGAGGAACACCGGUGGCGAAGGCGGUUCUCUGGGCAUGUCCUGACGCUGAGGCGCGAAAGCGUGGGGAGCAAACAGG
rnacentral:rRNA from 1 species